AUUGACAGGUCCUAUGGAGGAGGCAGCAGAGACUCUGCUUUCCUCGUUUGGAUUAAUUCUGAUAUAAGAACUGUUGGUUUAUUUAUCGGUGGAGCAGCAGAACAUUUUCCACAGACAGUUUUCCUGCCCGUUGGCUUGUUUUAACCAGUUUUCUACCAGCAGGCACUGAAAGGACUCUAAUAGUUCAAGUGAAAGUAGCAAUUCCUCCUUAAGGUCAGAGAUUGCAGCAUCUGAGGGCCUCUUCAAAAGAAGACGUAGUUGAUGAAGGCGUUCUGGAGCAGGACCAGAAAGAGCACGACCAAGCAGCCUUUAGUUCUUAGGCAGCGUCUCCCUCGGGUCCCUCUCUAUCUCCCCUCACAUCCACCAACCACUGGAACACAUCUCCAAAGUUCUGCCGGGCCAGCUCAGCUUCCCCUCAGAAGAAGUGCCGCCACCUGCCAGAUGAAGGAGCCUUUUGAGAGGCAGCUGGCAUCGUGAUUGGACUGUACUUUGGUCUGUUCCAAUCCAGCUUCAGCUCCAGAGACGGCAGGCGGGACGAGUCAACGGAGGCCUGGUGGACGAAGACAUGCAGCUGAGUACAAUCCAGAAAACAACAGAGGAGGAGUGCAGUGGCCCAGGGCCAGAACAAGCAGAGUAGCAUCGUAUGUCUCUUAGAAAACAUCAUAGUAUAGCCUUUGGUAUGAAAAAACGCCAUCAUAUACAUCGUAUAUUGUACAAAUAACAAGUCAAAGGAAAGAGACAUACAUUGUAGAAUUGUAGUAAUUCUGGGCUGACUGAUAUACUGAUUAUCAGUAUUUUAUUUUUUACCGAUUUACGGUAAUAAAUCCAUUUAAAAAUGGC